GUUUGAUCCUGGCUCAGGCUUAACACAUGCAAGUCGAGCGGAGAUGAGGUGCUUGCACCUUAUCUUAGCGGCGGACGGGUGAGUAAUGCUUAGGAAUCUGCCUAUUAGUGGGGGACAACAUUCCGAAAGGAAUGCUAAUCCCGCAUACGUCCUACGGGAGAAAGCAGGGGAUCUUCGGAACUUGCGCUAAUAGAUGAGCCUAAGUCGGAUUAGCUAGUUGGUGGGGUAAAGGCCUACCAAGGCGACGAUCUGUAGCGGGUCUGAGAGGAUGAUCCGCCACACUGGGACUGAGACACGGCCCAGACUCCUACGUGAGGCAGCAGUGGGGAAUAUUGGACAAUGGGGGGAACCCUGAUCCAGCCAUGCCGCGUGUGUGAAGAAGGCCUUAUGGUUGUAAAGCACUUUAAGCGAGGAGGAGGCUACUGAGACUAAUACUCUUGGAUAGUGGACGUUACUCGCAGAAUAAGCACCGGCUAACUCUGUGCCAGCCGCCGCAGUAACAC
rnacentral:rRNA from 1 species